CGCGUAGACGGCCGAGUAAGUUAUAGGUGAAAGCCCAUCUUUCAAGGAUGGAAUUAGCCUGUAAUACUGCUUGGCUUGAGUGCAGGAGAGGGAAGCGGAAUUCCUAGUGUAGCGGUGAAAUGCGUAGAUAUUAGGAAGAACACCAGUGGCGAAGGCGCUUCUCUGGACUGUAACUGACGCUGAGGCUCGAAAGCGUGGGAGCAAACA
rnacentral:rRNA from 1 species